rnacentral:rRNA from 1 species
UUGCGCGCGAGUCAUGGGCCUGAAACACCCAAAGGCGCAGACAACACAACUGUAUUGAUGCGGGAUUACGGGCGCACUACGGCCUCGGCCGGUUAACCGUGCGUCCCUCCAUCCCCGGGUGUUGCACCAACGGGCCCUUCCCUCCGGGGUUGGGGCCGGCGACAUACCGUGAGCGCGUAGGACGGGACCCGAAAGAUGGUGAACUAUGCCUGAUCAGGUUGAAGUCAGGGGAAACCCUGGUGGAGGACCGAAGCAAUUCUGACGUGCAAAUCGAUUGUCAGAGUUGGGCAUAGGGGCGAAAGACCAAUCGAACCAUCUAGUAGCUGGUUCCUUCCGAA